rnacentral:tRNA from 1 species
UCCCUGGUGGCUCAGAAAGCGUCUGCCUGGAAUGCAGGAGACCCAGGUUCCAUCCCUGGGUUGGGAA